rnacentral:lncRNA from 1 species
CUCCCGACAUGCUGGGGACCUGGAUCAAUGUUGAAUAUUGCAGGUCAUCCAGUCUGACCAUGCUGAAUAAGAAGUUAUACACCACAGUGUAUUUCACAACAGGAGGAUUUCAAACCAAACCAAAUAGAAGGGAUGUUAUACCCUCUAAAUAAUCACACACUCUAUCCACCACAUUUACAUGUGUACUACAUUUAGUGUGUAUACUUUAUAUGUUUUUUUACAUGAGCUUUAUACAUUAGGUGAAGUAGUCAAAUCAAGGGCAGGCAUUUAUGACAUAAGCUACUGAAAGAAUGUUCAUGCUAGUGAUGAAGAGCAAGUCUCCCUUGAGCCCCAUGAUUAAAGUUGGGCUGAGUGCUGCACCUGUUGAGGCAGGGCUGAGGGUGUUGGGGCUGGGUCUUGUUUUGUCCAUGUUGAGACUGGGCCUGGUUCUUCCCAUGUUGAGGCUGGGCUGGGGGUGUUGAAGCUGUGCCAGGUGUUGCCCCUGUUGAGACAGGUGUGAGUGUGUUGAGGCUGGGCUCGGGGUUGUUGAUGUUGGGCCCAGUGCUGACCCUGUUGAGGCUCGUUCAGGUGCUGACCCUGUUGAGGCUGAGCUGAGUGUGUUGAGGCCGGUCCAGGUGCUGCCCCUGUUUAGGCUGGGGCUGGUGCAGGUGGCCAUGUUAGGCCCUGUGUGCUGGGGCCUCCCGCUCUCUUGCCCUGUAGGGUGAAAGGAACCGUACAAAUAUAUAGCAACACAAGAAUAUAGAUGGUGAGAGUAAGCAGUACCUGAACAUAUAGAAGAGCAUGUAGGCACUCCGGGCUCUGGUCCUCAGCACAGUGGCUUCAUUGGACAUUGACACCUGGCUGUCGUUACAGCAGAACCAGUUUCCACUGGCAUGCAAGAUGUCACUAAUGUAG